ensembl:snRNA U1 U1 spliceosomal RNA
AUACUAACCUGGCAGGGGAGAUACUAUGAUCACGAAGGUGGUUUUCCUAAGGUGAGGAUUAUCCAUUGUACUCUGGAUGUGCUGACCCCUGCGAUUUUCCCAAAUGUGGGAAACUCAAUUGCAUAACUUGUGGUAGCAGGGAAUUGUGUUUGCGCUUCCCCCCU